rnacentral:rRNA from 1 species
UACGUAGGGUGCAAGCGUUAAUCGGAAUUACUGGGCGUAAAGCGUGCGCAGGCGGCUUUGCAAGACAGAUGUGAAAUCCCCGGGCUUAACCUGGGAACUGCAUUUGUGACUGCAUGGCUGGAGUGCGGCAGAGGGGGAUGGAAUUCCGCGUGUAGCAGUGAAAUGCGUAGAUAUGCGGAGGAACACCGAUGGCGAAGGCAAUCCCCUGGGCCUGCACUGA